GCCAAGAUAAAUUCAUGUUUUUGUUGUGUAAUAAAUUUUGCCUGCAGUUAUUUUUAACUACACUGUCAGGAGGAAUCUAGAGUUAAUCAAAUGAGCAAAUUAAUAUUUUUCCAGACAUUGGUCCCUCUUUUUAUUACCCAAUGGGUACAAAACAGUUUUUCAGUUGUUUCAAGAGAAGUCAAGAGUAGCAAUGAUUACAUCGACAGAUAGUGCCCUGGGGUCUUGUUUAUCGGUGCUUUGAUUUCUUAUUUUGUAAGCCAAGUAUAAAAUCAUUACCAAAA